rnacentral:rRNA from 1 species
AUUGAACGCUGGCGGCAUGCUUUACACAUGCAAGUCGAACGGCAGCGCGGGGCAACCUGGCGGCGAGUGGCGAACGGGUGAGUAAUACAUCGGAACGUACCCAGAAGUGGGGGAUAACGUAGCGAAAGUUACGCUAAUACCGCAUACGUUCUACGGAAGAAAGUGGGGGACCUUCGGGCCUCAUGCUUUUGGAGCGGCCGAUGUCUGAUUAGCUAGUUGGUGAGGUAAAGGCUCACCAAGGCGACGAUCAGUAGCGGGUCUGAGAGGACGACCAGCCACACUGGGACUGAGACACGGCCCAGACUCCUACGGGAGGCAGCAGUGGGGAAUUUUGGACAAUGGGCGCAAGCCUGAUCCAGCAAUGCCGCGUGAGUGAAGAAGGCCUUCGGGUUGUAAAGCUCUUUUGUCAGGGAAGAAACGGCUGAGGAUAAUACCUUCGGCUAAUGACGGUACCUGAAGAAUAAGCACCGGCUAACUACGUG